UCCCUGGAGGACAAGUGGUUAGGCCACAGAGCUCUCACCACUGCAGCCCGGGUUCGAUUCCCAGCCAGGGAA
rnacentral:tRNA from 1 species